GUACACGCUGUGACUAGCAUAUCAAUAAGCGGAGGAAAAGAAACUAACAAGGAUUCCCCUAGUGACGGCGAGUGAAGCGGGAAGAGCUCAAAUUUGAGAUCUUAAAGGGUUUCCCUUUACGAAUUGUAGUUUAAAGAAGUGUUUUCUGUUGAGGUUUUGGUAAAAGUUCUUUGGAAUAGGACAUCAUAGAGGGUGAGAAUCCCGUAUUUGACCUUUACUUUCAACUUUGUGAUACACUUUCAAAGAGUCGGAUUGUUUGGGAAUGCAGUCCAAAAUGGGUGGUAAAUUUCAUCUAAAGCUAAUAUAUUGGCGAGAGACCGAUAGCGAACAAGUACCGUGAGGGAAAGAUGAAAAGAACUUUGAAAAGAGAGUUAAACAGUACGUGAAAUUGUCAAAAGGGAAGCGUUUGACACCAGUGUUGUUUUUCUGAAAAUCAAUUAAAGAACUGUUUAUGCUAAGCUGUUUAGACUUUAUCAGCUAACUGUUUAGUUUUGAGCUUUUCUUUAAUGCACUUUUCAGUUAACAAGUCAACAUCAAUUUCUUUUGCUGUAAAAAAGCUUGAGGAAGGUGGCUUGAGAUUCGUCUUAAGUGUUUAUAGCCUCUUGCCUAUGCAGUCGGAGAGAUUGAGGUCUGCAGCGUAGAUCCUUCGGGGCUAAAUGCAUUUGUGCUAAGUUAUAGCAUUUUAUAGACAACUUGUUGACUAUGAUUUGUCUUGUAGCUUACUCGCUUAUGUUAUUUUACCUACGCUUAGGAUGUUGAGUCGUAGAGCACGCAG
rnacentral:rRNA from 1 species